rnacentral:rRNA from 1 species
UAGCAAUAGCUUAAAACUCAAAGGACUUGGCGGUGCUUCAUAUCCCUCUAGAGGAGCCUGUUCUAUAAUCGAUAAACCCCGAUAAACCUCACCAAUUCUUGCUAAUACAGUCUAUAUACCGCCAUCUUCAGCAAACCCUAAAAAGAAAUAAAAGUAAGCGUAAUCAUAACACAUAAAAAAGUUAGGUCAAGGUGUAACCUAUGAAAUGGGAAGAAAUGGGCUACAUUUUCUUAAACCAAGAA